GACCGCUCCGGUGGCCUAGUGGUUACAGCAUCUGCCUCCAAUGCCAGAGGUCAUGGGUUUGAUCCCCGGCUGAGUCA